CGCUCCCCUGCCGCGCUCCCCGCUGCUGCCGCCGCGCCCCCGCGCUCCGUCCCGCGCGCCCGCAGCGUCCUGGCCGCCAUGGCCGGGCUCGUGGUGCGUGGAACUCAAGUGUCCUACAUAGGCCAGGACUGCAGAGAAAUUCCAGAGCACCUUGGCAGGGACUGUGGACAUUUCGCAAAGAGGCUUGAUCUGAGCUUUAACCUUCUGAGGUA
rnacentral:lncRNA from 1 species